rnacentral:rRNA from 1 species
CAUGGGGGAGACCUGAUGCAGCCAUGCCGCGUGUGUGAAGAAGGCCUUCGGGUUGUAAAGCACUUUCAGCAGUGAGGAAGGUGGUGUACUUAAUACGUGCAUUGCUUGACGUUAGCUGCAGAAGAAGCACCGGCUAACUCCGUGCCAGCAGCCGCGGUAAUACGGAGGGUGCGAGCGUUAAUCGGAAUUACUGGGCGUAAAGCGCAUGCAGGCGGUUUGUUAAGUCAGAUGUGAAAGCCCGGGGCUCAACCUCGGAACCGCAUUUGAAACUGGCAGGCUAGAGUCUUGUAGAGGGGGGUAGAAUUUCAGGUGUAGCGGUGAAAUGCGUAGAGAUCUGAAGGAAUACCAGUGGCGAAGGCGGCCCCCUGGACAAAGACUGACGCUCAGAUGCGAAAGCGUGGGUAGCAAACAGGAUUAGAUACCCUGGUAGUCCACGCCGUAAACGCUGUCUACUUGGAGGUUGAGGUUUAAGACUUUGGCUUUCGGCGCUAACGCAUUAAGUAGACCGCCUGGGGAGUACGGCCGCAAGGUUAAAACUCAAAUGAAUUGACGGGGGCCCGCACAAGCGGUGGAGCAUGUGGUUUAAUUCGAUGCAACGCGAAGAACCUUACCUACUCUUGACAUCCAGAGAACUUUCCAGAGAUGGAUUGGUGCCUUCGGGAGCUCUGAGACAGGUGCUGCAUGGCUGUCGUCAGCUCGUGUUGUGAAAUGUUGGGUUAAGUCCCGCAACGAGCGCAACCCUUAUCCUUGUUUGCCAGCACGUAAUGGUGGGAACUCCAGGGAGACUGCCGGUGAUAAACCGGAGGAAGGUGGGGACGACGUCAAGUCAUCAUGGCCCUUA